rnacentral:misc_RNA from 1 species
UGCUUGAUCCUAUUGGCUGCUGCUCAUCGUUGCUUGGCUAAAUGCCGCCGAUGUUGCGCCGUCAUUGGGGCAUGCUUGUUUGGGUUGUUCAGAGACCGUUUGCGGCAUAUGAGUUGCUUUCAACUAUGCUCACCUUGAUCGGCGUACCCAGGAGCGUUGCUGAUCAUUGUUAGACCAUACGUGUUUCAUUUUGUCGGCCACUGAAAUCACAUUGAAUGUGGUUGAUGUAUUCCUCGUUGCUUGCGUUUGAUUCUGUCCACUAUACUGGCAUUGAAUUGUGAAAAAAGGUUGAUCCGUGCCUCUGCCUUCAAUGUGAAGAGAGGCGACGAUUUUGGACAGCGGUGCUUCUAUCCGCUCCUGCGUUAGGUGUAUGUGCCCAAACAAACAUCCUGUCCGUUGGUUGCUGAUCCAUAACUCCGCAUGUUGUUGUUAUAUGGAGGGGGCGAAUUAAGAAAAUAUCUUGGUGUCAUGUACACCUUGCUGAUGUGGGUUAUUUCUCGAGGCAAACUCGCCUCCUUUCCUCGUGCAACCAUGAAUACUCCCUUGCUGCCGCCCACUGGAUGGGUGAGUGGUUUGGGUUUGUUUU